rnacentral:rRNA from 1 species
UAGGGAAUCUUCCGCAAUGGACGCAAGUCUGACGGAGCAACGCCGCGUGAGUGAAGAAGGAUUUCGGUUCGUAAAACUCUGUUGUUAGAGAAGAACAGCGCAUAGAGUAACUGUUAUGCGUGUGACGGUAUCUAACCAGAAAGCCACGGCUAACUACGUGCCAGCAGCCGCGGUAAUACGUAGGUGGCCAGCGUUGUCCGGAUUUAUUGGGCGUAAAGCGAGCGCAGGCGGUCAAUUAAGUCUGAUGUGAAAGCCCCCGGCUCAACCGGGGAGGGUCAUUGGAAACUGGUUGACUUGAGUGCAGAAGAGGAGAGUGGAAUUCCAUGUGUAGCGGUGAAAUGCGUAGAUAUAUGGAGGAACACCAGUGGCGAAGGCGACUCUCUGGUCUGUAACUGACGCUGAGGCUCGAAAGCGUGGGUAGCAAACAGG